rnacentral:rRNA from 1 species
AAAUUGAAGAGUUUGAUCAUGGCUCAGAUUGAACGCUGGCGGCAGGCCUAACACAUGCAAGUCGAACGGUAACAGGAAGCAGCUUGCUGCUUCGCUGACGAGUGGCGGACGGGUGAGUAAUGUCUGGGAAGCUGCCUGAUGGAGGGGGAUAACUACUGGAAACGGUGGCUAAUACCGCAUAACGUCGCAAGACCAAAGAGGGGGACCUUCGGGCCUCUUGCCAUCAGAUGUGCCCAGAUGGGAUUAGCUUGUUGGUGAGGUAACGGCUCACCAAGGCGACGAUCCCUAGCUGGUCUGAGAGGAUGACCAGCCACACUGGAACUGAGACACGGUCCAGACUCCUACGGGAGGCAGCAGUGGGGAAUAUUGCACAAUGGGCGCAAGCCUGAUGCAGCCAUGCCGCGUGUAUGAAGAAGGCCUUCGGGUUGUAAAGUACUUUCAGCGGGGAGGAAGGUGUUGUGGUUAAUAACC